AUUGAACGCUGGCGGCAGGCCUAACACAUGCAAGUCGAACGAGUGGCGGACGGGUGAGUAAUGUCUGGGAAACUGCCUGUUGGAGGGGGGUAACUACUGGAACCGGUAGCUAAUCCCGCAUACCAUCAGAUGUGCCUAGAUGGGCUUAGCUAGGUGGUGGUGUAACGGCGCAGCAAGGCGACGACCCCUCGCUGGUCUGAGAGGAUGACCAGCCACACUGGAACUGAGACCCGGUCCCGACCCCUACGGGAGGCAGCAGUGGGGAAUAUUGCACAAUGGGGGCAAGCCUGAUGCAGCCCUGCCGCGUGUAUGAAGAAGGCCUUCGGGUUUUAAAGUACUUUCAGCGGGGAGGCGUUACCCGCAGAAGAAGCACCGGCUAACUCCGUGCCAGCAGCCGCGGUAAUAC
rnacentral:rRNA from 1 species